UACAGAGGGGGCAAGCGUUGUUCGGAAUUACUGGGCGUAAAGGGCGCGUAGGCGGCCUCUGCAAGUCGACUGUGAAAUCUCCGGGCUUAACCCGGAAAGGUCAGCCGAUACUGCAGGGCUAGAGUGCAGAAGGGGCAACUGGAAUUCUCGGUGUAGCGGUGAAAUGCGUAGAUAUUGGGAGGAACACCAGUGGCGAAGGCGGCUCACUGGACCGGAACUGACGCUGAGGCGCGAAAGCGUGGGGAGCAAACAGG
rnacentral:rRNA from 1 species